rnacentral:tRNA from 1 species
GCCUGGCUGGCUCAGUCGGUAGAGCAUGUGACUCUUGAUCUCAGGGUCAUGAGUUCAAGCCCCACAUUGGGUG